GCGGAAGUAGUUCAGUUGUAGAACAUCACCUUGCCAAGGUGGGGGUCGCGGGUUCGAACCCCGUCUUCCGCU
rnacentral:tRNA from 1 species